UUAAAACUCAAAUGAAUUGACGGGGGCCCGCACAAGCGGUGAAGCAUGUGGUUUAAUUCGAUGCAACGCGAAGACCUUACCUACUCUUGACAUCCACAGAAGGCUUUAGAGAUAGAGCUGUGUCUUCGGAAACUGUGAGACAGGUGCUGCAUGGCUGUCGUCAGCUCGUGUUGUGAAAUGUUGGGUUAAGUCCCGCAACGAGCGCAACCCUUAUCCUUUGUUGCCAGCGAUUAGGUCGGGAACUCAAAGGAGACUGCCGGUGAUAAACCGGAGGAAGGUGGGGAUGACGUCAAGUCAUCAUGGCCCUUACGAGUAGGGCUACACACGUGCUACAAUGGCGUAUACAAAGAGAAGCGAGCCUGCGAGGGUGAGCGGACCUCAUAAAGUACGUCGUAGUCCGGAUUGGAGUCUGCAACUCGACUCCAUGAAGUCGGAAUCGCUAAGUAAUCGUAGAUCAGAAUGCUACGGUGAAUACGUUCC
rnacentral:rRNA from 1 species